AGGAUGAGACGGAGGAUUACGUCAUCCAGCGCAGCAUCCACGAGGCCUGCAAGGAAGCCUUCCUCAAAUCACCUGCCAGCUUGGCCCCGCCCACCGCUGAGAACCUGAGAGUGCUGGCGGCCAUCGAGCAAGGCGAGGCGUCCGCGCUGAGGGACAUGCUGAGACACGCGCACGCCUUGGCGGAGGCGGACAGUCGCGGCUGGCUGCCCCUCCAUCGAGCCGCUUCCCAGCCCAAUCUGGACGUCCUGGAGGCCGUCUUGACACGCGGGGGGCUGAACCUGGAGGAGAGGACGGGGGUGGGCGGAGAGACGGCGCUCACCUUGGCGGUCAAAGGCGGCCUGGCGAGCAACGUGAGCGCCCUGCUGGUGGGCGGGGCGUCGCCGAACACCGCCAACGCCACGAACGAGUCUCCCCUGUUGCUAGGUAACCAACUCGCUCCGCCCCCUGUCGCUAACCAAACCGCGAGCACAAGUCAGCGUGUCUCUUCCACGAGGUCAGCGGUGAGGGCGGGGUCGUACGCGAUGGCGUCGGCGCUGGUGUCGCACGGCGCCUGGGUGGAGCAGGUGUGCCGGAAGAAUUGGAGCACCGUGCACGAGGCGGCCAAGGCGGGUCACGUGGACGUCCUGAUGCUCCUGCUGAGGAACGGCGGACGCGUCAACCAGAAGGACGUCGCCGGGGUGACGCCGCUGGCCGUGGCCGCCGAGCACGGACACUUCGCCGUCACGGAAAUUCUGCUCAACUGUGGCAGCAGAGUCAACGCUCAGGCUUGCAACGGCGAGAGUGUCCUGCUGGAUGCCGCCGGCACAGGAAACACUUCCUGCAUCCAACUGCUGCUGGACAACGGAGCCGACCCCAACCUGGCCAGCGCCCACGGACACCUGCCCCUCCACAAGGCCGCCUACGCCGGACACUACGAAGCGUUGAAGCUGCUCAUCCCGCUGACCAGCAAGGCGGCCAUCAAGGAGGCGGGGCUAAGUCCUCUCCACACGGCGUCAGAGGGCGGCCAGAGUGGAUGUUUGCAGCUUUUGUUGUCGCGAGGCUUCGACGUCAACUUCCGCUUGAGCAGCAGGAAGUCAGAGAACUACCGCGACAUGAGGAGGAGCGCUUUGUACUUUGCCGUUUCCAACGGAGACGCCGAGUGCGCCAGAGUCCUGCUGGCGGCGGGGGCCAGGACCGACCUGGACCCUCUCUGCUGCCUCCUGGUGGCCGUGCGCUCGGGACGCUACGACAUGGUGAGGCUGCUGCUGGACGCCAACGCCGACGUCAACUGUCACUUUGGCGCGGUGAGCGACACUUCCUUCCCCACCGCGCUGCAGUACUGCCUGAAGGACCAGGUGAUGAUGAGGAUGCUCCUCAACCACGGCUACCAGGCGGAGAGAUGCUUCCGCUGUCACCAUGACAACGCCUGCCAGGGAACGGAGGAGGCGGAGGACAAAAUUCCUUUUUGUGACUUCAUGAGCUUGUGCUGCCUGGUCCACCUGGCUGGAGGUGUGGUCAGGACUCUGCUGGACUACUUGGACCAGGUCCACAUCUGCUCCAAGCUCAGACACGUCUUGGAGAAACAACCUGAGUGGACGCAAAUAUUGGACAUUCUGUUCCUCGCUCCCUGGGACACCUGUGCAGGUUGUCCAUCAGAAGACGUUUGACCCUCAAGAGGCUCAACAACACAGAGGUCAUGAACUCUGACCUGUUCCCUCCCGGCCUAAGAAGUUUCAUCCUGUACCGCGACCUUGACCUCUACAAGGACAAACAUUGAAUGACUUGAUGACAGCGUGUACAAUUAAGGUAAAGUACAAAUACUCACCUGAUGAAGACGGAGAUCAUGGAACAGGAAGUGGUUUCCAGAGCGAUACUGUCCCCUGGUGGUCUUUUAUCCACACGGCAGGAAGUAGCCCCAAGAGAACAAGCCAGACUGUCCUGUUCUAUGGUUAUCAUCACACGUUCCCUCGUCGCCCCCCUCUUGUGACGGCAUCAUAAAAAAGCCAAAGAAAAAGCCCAACACACCUGGCGUAGCAGUAGUUUAAUUGGAGUUGUGUUCGCCCAUUUGCUGCCCCCUGCUGGUCACUACUUCACUUUCCUUCUUCGCGUUGAACUUGACUGAAUGACUUUCAGGUGGCGGACAUGAAGAUGAAUUCACAGAUUACAACAUUUUGGCAAAGUAUUUCCAUUGUUUGUUGUAUCAAAAUGAACUUUUCUUACCGUU